rnacentral:rRNA from 1 species
UACGGAGGAUCCAAGCGUUAUCCGGAAUCAUUGGGUUUAAAGGGUCCGUAGGCGGUCUUAUAAGUCAGUGGUGAAAUCCGGCAGCUUAACUGUCGAAUUGCCGUUGAUACUGUAGGACUUGAAUUAUUAGGAAGUAACUAGAAUAUGUAGUGUAGCGGUGAAAUGCUUAGAUAUUACAUGGAAUACCAAUUGCGAAGGCAGGUUACUACUAAUAUAUUGACGCUGAGGGACGAAAGCGUGGGUAGCGAAC